rnacentral:rRNA from 1 species
CCUACGGGUGGCUGCAGUGGGGAAUAUUGGACAAUGGGGGGAACCCUGAUCCAGCCAUGCCGCGUGUGUGAAGAAGGCCCUCGGGUUGUAAAGCACUUUCAGUGAGGAAGAACGCCUGGUGGUUAAUACCCAUCAGGAAAGACAUCACUCACAGAAGAAGCACCGGCUAACUCCGUGCCAGCAGCCGCGGUAAUACGGAGGGUGCGAGCGUUAAUCGGAAUUACUGGGCGUAAAGCGCGCGUAGGUGGCUUGAUAAGCCGGUUGUGAAAGCCCCGGGCUCAACCUGGGAACGGCAUCCGGAACUGUCAAGCUAGAGUGCAGGAGAGGAAGGUAGAAUUCCCGGUGUAGCGGUGAAAUGCGUAGAGAUCGGGAGGAAUACCAGUGGCGAAGGCGGCCUUCUGGACUGACACUGACAUUGAGGUGCGAAAGCGUGGGUAGCAAACAGGAUUAGAUACCCGAGUAGUC